ensembl:lncRNA novel transcript
CUUCCAGUUCGUUUCUGCUGCGGCGGCAAGAGGCUGGGGAGCCGAUGACUCACCCUGCCGGCUAAUUGCAGCGUUAAAUAACUUUGCGCCGGAUUCGGUGGCUGCAGCAGGGAACGCGCUCCGGGCGCCGGGGGAGGUGGAGGGACGCCCUGAGAACGCACCUCCGUCCCUGUCACCAGCCUUAGCAAGUUCUGGCCUGUGGAGCCGUCAUCCAGAGCGCACAGCUUCAUGCCCUUGAAGGGCGCAGUGUGUCCCGUGGUGCCCGGUGGGCCCGGACAGAGACCCCAGAGGCUCUGUCUGAAGGAAGCUGCACCCACAGACUCCAUCCAGGCAGCGCGGGCGCGGUCCUGUCGCCUACCUUUCUCGGAAGCCAUCUGCCCAUGUGAAUCUAUGUGAAGGCCCUUCAUGCGCUCCUGGACAUCUGCGUGGGAUUUACUUCAACUGCUAUCGCUGCGAGGAGGACGAGCAUGUUUCACUGUAUUUUUAGCAGAGAGUGCAGAUUUUAGAACCUCGCGAACGGUCCUGUAUCUCCUGCACGAUGACUCUCCAGAACAGGAAUAGUGACCCUUCCUUUGCAUUUAUGGUGCAUAGGUUUUCAAAGGACAGUGUGUAAAUCAGCUUGUGUAAUAAUUGUGGCACCCACGCGCGCAAGCAGACUUACCAUGAGCUGACUUCCACUGAUUAUUUCAGUUUCCAGGGAAACGAGGUUUGCAGCCCCCUCCAGUGAGGGCGGAGCGGCCUCUCCAUUCCCAAUGCAGCAAGGCUGCUGCAGCCACGAUGAUUAGGCUUUGGAGGAGGAAGUGAACGGAUGGGGCCUCAUCCUCCUGCCUCCCUAAAGGGUGAGGGUGGAAGGAUGGGGCUGUGCCCUCUUAGGGCAGGGAAAAACAGCUUGGAGGGGUUUCUGCCAUCAGAGAUCCCAUAGGAGGCAGGUCAGUCCUGCAGAAUUUCUCCCCAGUCUGGCCUCCAGCCUCCCUGGCCCCUUUCUAGAGGCCUCCAUCCCACUGGCGGCUUGCUCCUGCCACCGGGCCUCUGCACAGUCACCUCCUGCAGCCUGGGGUGUGUCGCCUCUCCACGUCCUCACCGGCGUCUGCCUUUGCAUUUCCCAGAUGCUCGCUUCACCCCACUGAGAUGUAACUCAGUUUUGUGGGAUCCCACUGCCCUCCAGGUGCCGCUCCGAGUGCUCUACACAGAUUUUCAUUCAGUCCUUGCGGCACACGAAGCCUGUUAAUAUGAUGAAUUACACUGAUUCAGUUUCAAAUGUCCAACCAAGCUUGCACUCCAGAGAUGAAGCCCACUUGAUCACAUGGAUUAUUCUUUUAAUAUAUGAUGGAUACGACUUGGCUGUUCUUUUGUUGAGGAUUUUUGUGUUUAUGUUAAUGAGGAUAUUAUUUGUAGUUUUCUUUUCUUGUAAUGUUUUUGUCUUUGUUCAGUGUCAGAGUAAUGCCAACUUCAUAAAGUGAGCUGGGAAGUACUCCCUCAUUUUCUGUUUUCUGUGAAAGAAUUGUAUAGAAUUGAUGUUAUUUCUUCCUUAAGUGUUGAGUAGAAUUCACUUGCAAAGCCAUCUGAGGUUGACAUCUUCUUUGGGAAUGACUUUAGCUAUAAAUUCAAUUUAUUUAACAGAUAUAGGGCUAUUAAGGUUAUUUAAUUUUUUUCUUGAAUGAGCUUUAG